AGAGUUUGAUCCUGGCUCAGGACGAACGCUGGCGGCGUGCUCUACGCAUGCAAGUUCAACGAUGAACCUACNCCAGGAGGGGAUUAGUGGCGAACGGGUGAGUAACACGUGGGCAAUCUGCCCUUCUCUCUGGGACAAGCCCUGGAAACGGGGUCUAAUACCGGAUACGACUACCGACCGCAUGGUCUGGUGGUGGAAAGCUCCAGCGGUGAAGGAUGAGCCCGCGGCCUAUCUGCCCGUUGGUGGGGUGAUGACCCACUAAGGCGACGACGGGUAGCAGGCCCGAGGGGGCGACCGGCCACACUGGGAUUGAGACACGGCCCAGACUCCUACGGGAGGCAGCAGUGGGGAAUAUUUCACAGCAGACGAAAGCCUGACACAGCGACGCCGCGUGAGGGAUAACCGCCUACGAGUUGUAAACCUCUUUCAGCAGGGAAGAAGCGAGAGUGACGGUACCCGCAGAAAUAAUUCCGGACAACUACGUGCUCGCACCCGCGGUAAUACGUAGGGCGCAAGCGUUAUCCGCGGCUGCUGGGCGUAAAGAGCACGUAGUUAGCUUGUCACGUCGGAUGUGAAAGCCCGGUGCUUUUCCCCGGGUCUGCAUUCGGUACCGUCGGCAAGCCGAAGCCCUGUAGGGG
rnacentral:rRNA from 1 species